UACGGAGGGUGCGAGCGUUGUCCGGAAUCACUGGGCGUAAAGGGCGCGUAGGCGGCUCAUGAAGGCUGUGGUGAAAGUCCGGGGCUCAACCUCGGAUCGGCCACUGAUACUGUUGGGCUUGAGCACUGUAGAGGCUAAUGGAAUUCCGGGUGUAGCGGUGGAAUGCGUAGAGAUCCAGAAGAACACCGGUGGCGAAGGCGGGUCUCUGGGCAAUAACUGACGCUGAGGAGCGAAAGCGUGGGGAGCGAACAGG
rnacentral:rRNA from 1 species